CCCUUUCAGGUCUCACUGCCCCCCUUCCUCUCUUGCAGACGAGUACGUGGCAAGCCUCCACCUGCCCACGUUCGACGCCCACCUGACCGAACUGUCGGACGAGCAGGCGAAAUACUUGGGCCUGAACAAAAACGGGCCUUUUAAGCCAAACUAUUACAGGUAUUAAAUCUCCCACCGGAGGGAGGAGGAUUCGAUCCCAAGACACCUCUGGCUCCCUUGCAGGAUGAACCCAGCACAAGCUUCUGAACUCAGCACCAGGCUGCCCUAGUCCACAGUGUGUUAGGUUAUUUAUUUAUUAAACUAGAAUACCGUACUUG